rnacentral:rRNA from 1 species
AUUGAACGCUGGCGGCAGGCCUAACACAUGCAAGUCGAACGGUAACAGGAAGAAGCUUGCUUCUUUGCUGACGAGUGGCGGACGGGUGAGUAAUGUCUGGGAAACUGCCUGAUGGAGGGGGAUAACUACUGGAAACGGUAGCUAAUACCGCAUAACGUCGCUAGACCAAAGAGGGGGACCUUCGGGCCUCUUGCCAUCGGAUGUGCCCAGAUGGGAUUAGCUAGUAGGUGGGGUAACGGCUCACCUAGGCGACGAUCCCUAGCUGGUCUGAGAGGAUGACCAGCCACACUGGAACUGAGACACGGUCCAGACUCCUACGGGAGGCAGCAGUGGGGAAUAUUGCACAAUGGGCGCAAGCCUGAUGCAGCCAUGCCGCGUGUAUGAAGAAGGCCUUCGGGUUGUAAAGUACUUUCAGCGGGGAGGAAGGGAGUAAAGUUAAUACCUUUGCUCAUUGACGUUACCCGCAGAAGAAGCACCGGCUAACUCCGUG